GUGCCCCUGGCUAGCUCCACCUGCUGCAGGCGGUCCAACGGCUCUUCCGGGCCGUCUGGCAAGCUGAGGCUGAGGCGAUUGAGGCUGGUGAGGCUCUCCGAGUCUGGAGUGAGUGUGUCCGAUGACGUGGAGAGUUGAUGUCACUAGGUGUGGACGACCUGUCUCCCUCCGCAGCCGAGGCAUCGGAGAUGACGGAGGGCUGACGCGAGUGGCACGGGCUCAACCUCACAGCAGCCACUAAAUGGGAUGAGAGUGGCAGGGGGGAUUGGGGGAUGAAAGCUUGAUUUUUUUUUUUCUUUUUCUAAAGAGAGAGCUUUGGCACUGAAUGCAACAACUGGGAAAAUAGGAUUCUUGUGACAUUCUUUGGAGUCACAAAUAAACAUAAUACCAAAUCAAAA